rnacentral:rRNA from 1 species
GGGAGUAACACCUGGAAACAGAUGCUAAUACCGGAUAACAACAGAUGAUGCCUAUCAACUGUUUAAAAGAUGGUUCUGCUAUCACUCUUGGAUGGACCUGCGGUGCAUUAGCUAGUUGGUAGGGUAACGGCCUACCAAGGCGAUGAUGCAUAGCCGAGUUGAGAGACUGAUCGGCCACAUUGGGACUGAGACACGGCCCAAACUCCUACGGGAGGCAGCAGCC